rnacentral:rRNA from 1 species
GACAGAGGAUGCAAGCGUUAUCCGGAAUGAUUGGGCGUAAAGCGUCUGUAGGUGGCUUUUCAAGUCCGCCGUCAAAUCCCAGGGCUCAACCCUGGACAGGCGGUGGAAACCGUAAAGCUAGAGUCCGGAAGAGGAGAGUGGAAUUCCUGGUGUAGCGGUGAAAUGCGCAGAUAUCAGGAAGAACACCCGUGGCGAAGGCGGCUCUCUGGGACGGUACUGACGCUGAGACGCGAAAGCGUGGGGAGCGAACAGG